UCUGAAAGGUUGUUGGUGGUGGAAUUGCAGCUACGACGAAAUUGGUUUCUGUUUUGGAAAAGAAGAAGCGAUGAGUAUUGGUCUUUGACAAGCUAUGGGAUUUGGUGUGGUAAUUGUGUUUUGAAGUGAAAUUGGGUAUGCUGCUUGAAUGGUUAAUGCCUGCUUGAGUGAUCGAUUAUGUUGGAAAUGUCAUUGUUAUAAGCUGAAUGACUGAAUCAGUGAACUCUUUAAAGAAGUUGUAAAUUGCAAGUUAAAUCAUUGUUGUGAAAGAAAAUGUUGAGCGUGAGUAAUGAAAAUGGUGAAUUCUACGUACUUAGGUUAAAGGGGGAUUCUCAGUCAAGGUAAUGGACCAAACUAUAAAUGAAGUGCUCUAAAGCUAUCAUACCCCGAAAUGGAAUUAAGGAAUGAAAUUGUUCGGGAAUGAUAACCGCUAUUUAUUUGCUUAAGGUUUAACGACUAAGUAAAAAUGUCAACUUGGUUGACUUGAAUUACAUUAAGGAAAGAAGUAUGAUCACCAUAUCCCGAAUGAGCUUACUAUUCUAAGUGAAUUGUUCGGGAAUGGUUUCUAGUAAGUAUCGAUCAUGGGUUAUUUGGUGAAUUUUAAAGUGAGUUAUGAAUUAGUUACUUAUCGGAUAUAAUUUUUGUUAAAGGACUUGAGCGUGUGCACAUGAAAUUGGAAGAAGUAUCGAAAUUCGGAAACAAAGCUAAGUUUGGGCGAGCACUCCAAUUCCAGUGUGCAGGUUUCGAGCAUGUGGUCGGGGAGCGUACAGAGGAGGCACAUGGCCCGGCUUGGCGCAUUCUUCUUUAAUUUUAUCAAAAAAAGGUUUUGGUCCUUUAUCGGAUUUUGAAGUAGCUUGUUUAUUUACUUUUAUUUAUUUCCUACUUGUUUACAAAAACUUCGAGAGGCCCGUAACCCUGGGGCGUGUCUCUCGCACUUGUAGUUACUUAGUGAUUUGUUUUCCAAAUUGGGCUC